rnacentral:rRNA from 1 species
GUUAGGAAUAUUGGACAAUGGGCGCAAGCCUGAUCCAGCCAUGCCGCGUGAGUGAUGAAGACCUUCGGGUUGUAAAGCUCUUUAGCCGAUGAUUAUAAUGACUGUAGUCGGAAAAUAAGCCCCGGCUAACUUCGUGCCAGCAGCCGCGGUAAUACGAAGGGGGCGAGCGUUAUUCGGAAUCACUGGGCGUAAAGCGUGCGUAGGCGGCUUUGCAAGUUGGGAGUGAAAGCCCAGGGCUCAACCCUGGAAUUGCUCUCAAAACUGCAAGGCUCGAAUUCGGGAGAGGAUAGCGGAAUUGUCAGUGUAGCAGUGAAAUGCGUAGAUAUUGACAGGAACACCAGUGGCGUAAGCGGCUAUCUGGACCGAUAUUGACGCUGAGGCACGAAAGCGUGGGGAUCAAACAGGAUUAGAAACCCCGGUAGUCC